rnacentral:rRNA from 1 species
GACGAACGCUGGCGGCGUGCCUAAUACAUGCAAGUCGAACGCAGUGGGGACGGGUGAGUAACACGUGGGUAACCUCCCAUCAGAGGGGAUAACACUUGGAAACAGGUGCUAAACCGCACAUCGGAUUGGCCCAGCUGGGAUUAGCUAGUAGGUGGGGUAACGGCUCACCUAGGCGACGAUCCCUAGCUGGUAGUAGAGGAUGACCAGCCACACUGGAACUGAGACACGGUCCAGACUCCUACGGUAGGCAGCAGUAGGGAAUCUUCGGCAAUGGACGAAAUUCUGACCGAGCAACGCCGCGUGAGUGAAGAAGGUUUUCGGAUCGUAAAACUCUGUUGUUAGAGAAGCGGUAUCUAACCAGAACGCCACGGCUAACUACGUGCCAGCAGCCGCGGUAAUUC